AUGUACAAUGUCAUCCAUAUUGAUGAGAAGUGGUUCUACCGCACUAAAGGUACUCAGAACUACUACUUGGCACCUGAUGAAGAGGAACCCUAUCGCAGCACACAGAGCAAGGGAUUUAUUGAGAAAGUGAUGUUCUUGGCAGCGGUAGCAAGGCCUCGUUAUGAUGAUGAAGGUGUCAUGACAUUUGAUGGCAAGAUUGGAAUUUGGUCGUUCACAUAUCAGGACUUCGCAAAGAGGCGUAGCCCUUACAGAGAGAGGGGGGAAGAGGUAACCAAGGUUUUGUCGUCGGUGACAAAGGAUGUCAGUAGAGACUAUAUGGUGAACAAGCUUCUACCCGCCAUCAAGGCUUUGUGGCCGGCUUCAGAACGCGGACGCACAAUAUACAUUCAUCAAGAUAAUGCAAAGACCCAUAUUUCCAUGAGUGACAGUGUGUUUUGUGCAGCGGCAUAG
rnacentral:rRNA from 1 species